UGAGGAAUAUUGCGCAAUGGGGGAAACCCUGACGCAGCAACGCCGCGUGCGGGAUGAAGGCCUUUUAGGUCGUAAACCGCUGUAGCAGGGAAAAAAUAUCCCGUUCGACGGGAUUGAUGGUACCCUGAAAGUAAGCCUCGGCUAACUACGUGCCAGCAGCCGCGGUAAUACGUAGGAGGCAAGCGUUGUCCGGAUUUACUGGGUGUAAAGGGUCCGCAGGCGGACAAGUAAGUCGGGGGUGAAAUCCUGCAGCUUAACUGCAGAACUGCCUUCGAUACUGCCUGUCUUGAAUACGGGAAAGGGUGACGGAAUUCCAGGUGUAGCGGUGAAAUGCUUAGAUAUCUGGAAGAACACCGGUUGCGAAGGCUGUUGCCUGGCCCGUUAUUGACGCUCAGGGACGAAAGCGUGGGGAUCAAACAGG
rnacentral:rRNA from 1 species